rnacentral:rRNA from 1 species
UUGAUAGUACCUUACUACUUGGAUAACCGUGGUAAUUCUAGAGCUAAUACAUGCUAAAAGCCCCAACUUCGGGAGGGGUGUAUUUAUUAGAUAAAAAACCAAUGCCCUUCGGGGCUCCUUGGUGAUUCAUGAUAACUUCUCAGAUCGCAUGUGCCCUCGUGCCGGCGACGGUUCAUUCAAAUUUCUGCCCUAUCAACUUUCGAUGGUAAGGUAUUGGCUUACCAUGGUUUCAACGGGUAACGGGGAAUUAGGGUUCGAUUCCGGAGAGGGAGCCUGAGAAACGGCUACCACAUCCAAGGAAGGCAGCAGGCGCGCAAAUUACCCAAUUCCGAUACGGAGAGGUAGUGACAAUAAAUACUGAUACAGGGCUCUUUUGGGUCUUGUAAUUGGAAUGAGUACAAUUUAAACCUCUUAACGAGGAACAAUUGGAGGGCAAGUCUGGUGCCAGCAGCCGCGGUAAUUCCAGCUCCAAUAGCGUAUAUUAAAGUUGUUGCAGUUAAAAAGCUCGUAGUUGAACCUUUGGCCUGGCUGGCAGGUCCGCCUCACCGCGUGCACUUGACCGGCCGGGCCUUUUCUUCUGGAGAACCGCAUGCCCUUCACUGGGUGUGUUGGGGACCAGGACUUUUACUUUGAAAAAAUUAGAGUGUUCAAAGCAGGCCUUUGCUCGAAUACGUUAGCAUGGAAUAAUAGAAUAGGACGUGCGGUCCUAUUUUUGUUGGUUUCUAGGACCGCCGUAAUGAUUAAUAGGGACAGUCGGGGGCAUCAGUAUUCAAUUGUCAGAGGUGAAAUUCUUGGAUUUAUUGAAGACUAACUACUGCGAAAGCAUUUGCCAAGGAUGUUUUCAUUAAUCAGUGAACGAAAGUUAGGGGAUCGAAGACGAUCAGAUACCGUCGUAGUCUUAACCAUAAACUAUGCCGACUAGGGAUCGG